rnacentral:piRNA from 1 species
UGUACACAUAGAAAAAUACCCAGGGUCAAGC